AUGGCGGCGGCGGUUGGGGCGCCGCUGGAGCACGAGACCCAGAUCUUCCUGGACCUCUUCCACCAGGACGGGCUGGUCAUCUGCGCCCGCGGACUGGGCAUCGACCGCCUCCUCCUGCGCUUCCUCCGCCUCUACUGCGAACCGGCCAGGCUGGUGUUGGUGCUGAACACCAGCCCUGCAGAGGAGGAGUUUUUUAUAGACCAGUUAAGGACCGAUAAUGUUGCUCAUCUUCCUCGACGUGUUACAAAUGAAAUUGCAAGCAACAGUCGCUAUGAAGUUUACACCCAAGGGGGGGUCAUUUUUGCAACCAGCCGAAUUCUGGUGGUGGAUUUUCUGACAGACAGGAUUCCUUCCGAUCUUAUCACUGGUAUUUUGGUGUACAAAGCCCACAGAAUCAUUGAGUCUUGCCAAGAAGCUUUUAUCUUGCGACUCUAUCGGCAGAAGAACAAGCAGGGUUUCGUCAAAGCCUUCACAGACCACGCCGUUGCCUUUAACACUGGCUUUUGUCAUGUGGAAAGGGUGAUGAGGAAUCUCUUUGUGAGGAAGCUUUACCUCUGGCCACGGUUUCACGUAGCGGUGCACUCCUUUUUAGAGCAGCACAAGCCUGAAGUGGUCGAAAUGCACGUCACCAUGACCCCAGCCAUGCGCGCCAUCCAGAGUUCGAUACUGGACAUCCUGAACGCGUGUCUGAAAGAACUGAAGCUCUGCAACCCUGCUUUGGAAGCGGAGGAUUUAUCCCUAGAAAAUGCAAUGGGGAAGGCUUUCGACAAGACCAUUCGCCACUAUCUAGAUCCCCUUUGGCACCAGCUUGGAGCGAAAACCAAAUCUUUGGUCCAAGACUUGAAGAUCCUCCGUACUUUGCUCCAGUACCUGACUCAGUACGACUGCGUCACUUUCCUCCACCUUUUGGAGUCCUUGAGAGCCUCAGAAAAAGCCUUUGGUCGGAAUUCAGGUUGGCUUUUUCUUGAUUCUAGUACGUCGAUGUUUCUAAACGCUAGGGCCAGGGUUUAUCGCCUUCCAGAUGACAAAGCAAAUAAGAAAAGAAAAGCCUCCGAAAAAGCAGAUGUGAAGGAAGAAAAAGAGCAGAAAAGGGAAUUGGUCCUGGAAAGCAACCCGAAGUGGGACGCGCUCGGAGAAGUGCUGAAGGAGAUCGAAACGGGGAAUGCAAACAGUGACGCUCUGGGUGGGCCAGGGCGAGUGCUUAUCUGUGCCAACGACGACCGCACUUGCGCCCAGCUCAAGCAGUACAUCACAGCUGGGGCCGAGGCUUUUUUGACAAGGCUCUACAGCAAAACCUUUGGGAAGGAGAAGGAACCUGGAGACCCCUGCCCGAGGGACAAGCGAGCGGCCAAGGGCGGUGACGCCCCAGAAUCCCGGGCCAAAAGAGCCAAAACGGAUUCCUCCAAACCAAGCAAGAGGAGGAGGAAGAAGAAGAAGAAGCCCGAGUUGACCCUGACGCAGAUGUUGACCAAAGAGGAGCAGGAGGACGUCGUGAGAGAGCAAGAAGACUCCGAGGACUUGAGCAGCGGCCGCGAGAGCAGUGGGGAAGGCAAGCCGGAAGACCUCCAGCUGCUCCUGUCGUCCUCGGAUGCCUAUUAUGGGAUCUUAAAGGAGCCUCUCACAGUUAUACAUCCGCUGAAUGGCUGCGGGGAUCCAUACGCCCUCACCCGGGUCUUGCACGAAGUGGAGCCCAGAUACGUCGUGUUGUACGACGCGGAGCUGACUUUUGUUCGCCAGCUGGAAAUUUACAAGGCCAGCAGGCCUGGGAAGCCUUUGAGGGUUUAUUUCCUUAUCUAUGGCGGUUCAACAGAAGAACAGCGCUACCUUACUAUGCUAAGGAAAGAAAAAGAAGCCUUCGAGAAACUCAUUCGAGAGAAGGCCGGUAUGGUGAUCCCUGAAGAAAGGGAAGGGCGAGAUGAAACCAACUUGGAUCUCAUAAGAGAUGCUACUCCAGCGAAUGUUUCUACAGACACCCGUAAAGCAGGUGGCCAGGAACAAAAAGAUGUGCAGCAGAGCGUUGUCGUGGACAUGCGUGAAUUUCGUAGUGAGCUCCCGUCCCUGAUUCACCGUCGUGGCCUCGACAUCGAACCCGUGACCUUGGAAGUCGGCGACUACAUUCUCACGCCUGACAUUUGCGUGGAGCGGAAGAGCAUCAGCGACCUGAUUGGCUCCCUGAAUAACGGGAGGCUUUACGCUCAGUGCGUCUCCAUGUCUCGUUAUUACAAGCGGCCUGUGCUGCUCAUUGAGUUUGACCCCAGCAAAUCCUUCUCUCUCACUUCCCGGGCUUCUCUCCAUCAGGAGAUCUCCAGCAAUGACGUGAUUUCCAAGCUGGCCCUUCUGACACUGCAUUUCCCCCGGCUCCGGCUGCUGUGGUGCCCCUCUCCCCACGCCACGGCCGAACUGUUUGAGGAAUUGAAACGGAACCGAGCCCAGCCUGACGCAGCAACGGCCAUGGCUGUCACAGCCGAUUCCGAAAGCCUCCCCGAAUCGGACAAGUACAACCCAGGGCCUCAAGACUUCUUAUUAAAAAUGCCUGGUGUGAAUGCCAAAAACUGCCGAGCUAUAAUGAAUCACGUUAAGAGCGUCGCAGAACUCAUCGCCCUUUCUCAGGACAAGCUGACCGAACUCCUGGGCCACGCUGCCAGUGCCAAGCAGCUGUAUGAAUUCAUUCAUUUACCCUUUACAGAAGCUGUUUCUCAAGGGAAGACCAAGAGGUGACGAAUUGCGUUGGGCCCUGGAGGGUUAUCACGUUGCAGCGCCUUGACCAACUGCUGCUCUACCUUAGUACUCCUGCACGGAUUCAGCCAAGCUAUUUGCUACGAUUCUCUUGGAACUGUACCACUUCAGAAGGCAGUGACCACCUCACCCCAUCUCCCAACACACAAUGGUCUGAAAAGCAUUCUAAUGGUUUUAGAGAAAAUUCAAGAUGGCGGCCACAAACUGCUUGGCUUCAUAGUGACAAUUUUGUUUAAGCAUAUUAUUUCCGAUGUUCAGGCUGUGAGUGCCACUACUUGACAAAACAGUACCAUCCCUGCACAAGAGGGGUUUAUGGGCAUGCUGUCCCCAGUCCGAGUCCAACACACUAAAUAGUAAAAUAUUUUUGAAGACUUUGGAAGUUUUUAAAGGCCUGGGAGAAUUAUUAUUAUUUAUUACAUUUAUAUCCUACCUUUUUUCCUCCAAGGAACCCAAGGCAGCGUACAUAAUCCUCCUUCUCUCCAUGUUAUCCUCACAACAACCACCCUGUGAGGUAGGUUGGGCUGAGAGUCUGUGACUGGCCCAAAGUCACCCAGUGAGCUUCCAUGGCCGAGUGGGGACUAGAUCCCGGAUCUUCCGACUCCCAAUCCAACACUUUAGCCACUACACCACACUGGAAAGUCUUAGCCUGGCACUGAAAGGAUAGCAGUGUGGGAGGCAGGCAAGCUUCCCUUGGGAGAGCAUUUCAGAGCCUGGGGGCCACCACUGAAAACAAACCUCUCAUUAUUGCCAUACUCUGAAUCUCAGAAUGAGCAGGUACUUGAAGGAGGGCUUCUGUGGAUGAUCUUAAAGUAUGAGCAGGUUUAUUUGGGAGGAGAUGUUCCAUCAGGUAUUGACAUCCAAAGUGUCAUGGUCCCAGAUGUCAUGCCACCACUGGAGUUGUCUUUAGAGGAGGAGCCAAAACCAUCAGAGCCAGUUGGCCCCUCAGAAGGCCCUGGCACAAGCCAAGAUGAUCCGGGGCCCUCAAGGCUGAGGCCUUUGAAUCUGCUUCCUAGAGAAGCCAAGAGUUUAGUUUCGGAGGCAGAGGAAGACGCUGGGCCACCACCUAGCCCCUGAGAACACUGGCAUCUUCAAGUGCAUGAGAGGAUAGUUGCCAGGCAAAGGAGUCCUCACCUACUGAGAAGGAAUACUCAUGAGUUGGGCCUUCCUCAUGAGGAGGACAUCAGACAAGCCUGAGGACUGGAUAGGAGUCUAGUAGCUUUAGGUCUAUCAGCUCCUACUGGUGACUUGAGAGAUGCUGGAACCCAUGUCUCUGCCAGGCCCAGUAUCACCUUGCUUCCCAUGUCUUGCCUUGGAUGUUCUGUGCCACUGACUCUUGAACUGUUGCUUGACCCGGCUUCUCUACCAAGGAAUGUACCUGAUGGAUUUACUGUGCUUGACCUUCUGUUUGUUACUCUGACCACACCUACUGUUGCCUGAUCCUCAUUGACUGAAUAACUGUUCUGACUGCUGCCUGGUCUCCUGACCACUCUUGCCUUAGCUUAACCCUCAUUGGACUGAACCCUGUCUGUUUAACCAUCUGCUUGCCAAACUGACUAUUCUAUUGCCUAACUCUGUUUGUGCUUGCAAAGAUACAGUCUAGAGCAGGACACAAAGCCAUGUAGAACUUUAUAAGUCAAAACCAGCACUUUGAAUUGGGCCCAGAAAUCAAUUGGGAGCCAGUGCAGGCAAGAGAGGAUCACUGUGAUAUGAUUCUGGUGCAUUCCUUCCUUCCUCCAGUAAGAUGGGUCCUUCUUCUCUCUCCCCACUCCUUGAUGGUAUUGAUGGUUUGCACAAUAGAACAGUCUAGCACCAAGCCUGGCGCCUUUUCAAACCUUUUUAUUCACCCAGGCCUUUAAAUUUUGAACUUUUACUCAAUCUUGCUCAUGCUGGUUUCUACUGUUCCUGUUUUAAUGCUGUAUUUUUAUGUGAUUGGUUAUUGUUGCUUUAUCCUUUCAAAUUAGCUGCU